rnacentral:rRNA from 1 species
GGUCCCGCCUGCCCAGUGACUCUUUAAACGGCCGCGGUAUCCUAACCGUGCAAAGGUAGCAUAAUCACUUGUCCCUUAAAUAGGGACUAGAAUGAACGGCUAAAUGAGAACUAAACUGUCUCUUGCGAGCUGGUCAAUGAAAUUGAUUUUCCAGUACAAAAGCUGGAAUAAACACAUAAGACGAGAAGACCCUGUGGAGCUUCAAAACCAAGUUCAACGAAUUAAUGCUCCCUUGCGUUUUUAGUUGGGGCGACUUUGGAGUACAAAAAACCCUCCAAAACAUAUUAAACCAAUUAUAUCAAGAUUAACAAACCAAAAACUACACAAGACCCAGCAAUAACUCCAUGUUAUUGCCUGAUCAAUGAACCAAGUUACCCCAGGGAUAACAGCGCCAUCCCCUUAUAGAGUCCUUAUCGACAAGGGGGUUUACGACCUCGAUGUUGGAUCAGGACCCCCCAAUGGUGCAGCCGCCAUUAAAGGUUCGUUUGUUCAACGAUUAAAGUCCUACGUGAUCU